UUUGUCUUUAUGGCAAAUGUGAGAUGCAGUGUAUGGAAUGUCAAAUUUCUAGUAUGAGAAAUUAACGAUUUAAGUCCUUCUUAAAUGAGGCCAUUUACCCAUAGAGGGUGCCAGGCCCGUAUAACGUUAAUGAUUACUAGAUGGCAUUUCCAAAGAGUCGUGUUGCUUGAUAGUGCAGCACUAAGUGGGUGGUAAACUCCAUCUAAAACUAAAUAUAACCAUGAGACCGAUAGUAAACAAGUACCGUGAGGGAAAGUUGAAAAGAACUCUGAAUAGAGAGUUAAAUAGUACGUGAAACUGCUUAGAGGUUAAGCCCGAUGAACCUGAAUAUCCAUUAUAGAAAAUUCAUCAUUAUGAUUUAAAUAUUAUUAUAAUAAUAGUGUGCAUUUUUUCUAUAUAGGACAUUGUAAUCUAUUGACAUACAAAAUUUAUCAUAAGAUCACAUAAGUUUAUUCAGAUUAUUUUGCUUGCAAUUUAACAUAAAAUAAAUGCUAUUGAUUUGAUAAAGUGUUGAUAGAUUUAAUAUAUAGUGCUUGAAUAAUAUUCUAUAAUAGCAUACAUAUUAAUAAUUUGCAUGUUUAUUUUAUGCACUUAUAUGAUUAACAAUGCGAAAGAUUCAGGAUACCUUCGGGACCCGUCUUGAAACACGGACCAAGGAGUCUAACAUAUUUGCAAGUUAUUGGGAAAAAACCUAAUAGCGAAAUUAACAUAACUUAAAAUGGGAUUAGUUUUUAGCUAGUCUAUUAAUUCAAUCCCGGGGCGUUCUAUACAGUUAUGUAUAAUAAUAUUUUAUAUUAUUUAUACCUCUAACUAGAGCGUACCUUGAGCAUAUAUGCUGUGACCCGAAAGAUGGUGAACUAUACUUGAUCAGGUUGAAGUCAGGGGAAACCCUGAUGGAAGACCGAAACAGUUCUGACGUGCAAAUCGAUUGUCAGAAUUGAGUAUAGGGGCGAAAGACCAAUCGAACCAUCUAGUAGCUGGUUCCCUCCGAAGUUUCCCUCAGGAUAGCUGGUGCAUUUAAAAAUUAUGAAAAAUAAUCUUAUCUGGUAAAGCGAAUGAUUAGAGGCCUUAGGGUCGAAACGAUCUUAACCUAUUCUCAAACUUUAAAUGGGUAAGAACCUCACCUUUCUUGGUAUGAAGGUUGUGGUUGUGAUAUAAUGUGCCCAGUGGGCCACUUUUGGUAAGCAGAACUGGCGCUGUGGGAUGAACCAAACGUAAUGUUACGGUGCCCAAAUUAACAACUCAUGCAGAUACCAUGAAAGGCGUU
rnacentral:rRNA from 1 species